GCCAUCAUUCAAAGAGUGCGUAAUAGCUCACUAGUCGAGUGACGCCGCGCCGAAAAUUUACCGGGGCUAAGCAUGAUACCGAAACUGUGGAUGUGCAUUUAUGCACGUGGUAGGAGAGCGUUCUAGCGGCGGUGAAGCAUGACCGAGAGGACAUGUGGAGCUUCUAGAAGUGAGAAUGCCGGUAUGAGUAACGAAAGACAGGUGAGAAUCCUGUCCGCCGCAAGACUAAGGUUUCCUGGGGCAGGCUCGUCCGCCCAGGGGAAGUCGGGACCUAAGGCGAGGCCGAGAGGCGUAGUCGAUGGACAACAGGUUGAAAUUCCUGUACUGCACCGAAUCGUUAUGAGCGAUGGAGGGACGCAGGAGGCUAGCAGCGCGUGGUGCUGGAUACCACGUUCAAGCGUCAAGUCUGAGAGCGAGUCAAAUGCUUGCUUUCAUAAGGACAAGGCGUGAUGAGGAGCGAAAUUAAAGUAGCGAAGGCUGCGACGUCACACUGCCGAGAAAAGCUUCUAGCCAGAAACGGUGCACCCGUACCGCAAACCGACACAGGUAGUCGAGGAGAGUAUCCUCAGGUGAGCGAGAGAACUCUCGUUAAGGAACUCGGCAAAAUGGCCCCGUAACUUCGGGAGAAGGGGCGCUGGUCGCAAGAUCAGCCGCAGUGAAAAGGCCCAAGCAACUGUUUAUCAAAAACACAGGCAUCUGCAAAAUCGUAAGAUGAAGUAUAGGUGCUGACACCUGCCCGGUGCUGGAAGGUUAAGAGGAGAGCUUAGCGCAAGCGAAGGUUUGAAUUGAAGCCCCAGUAAACGGCGGCCGUAACUAUAACGGUCCUAAGGUAGCGAAAUUCCUUGUCGGGUAAGUUCCGACCUGCACGAAAGGCGUAAUGAUUUGGGCACUGUCUCAACGAGAGACUCGGUGAAAUUAUAAUCCCCGUGAAGAUGCGGGUUACCCGCGACAGGACGGAAAGACCCCAUGGAGCUUUACUGCAGUUUAAUAUUGGGUAUCUGUCAAGCAUGUACAGGAUAGGUAGGAGCCGGAGAAGAUAGGACGCCAGUCUUAUCAGAGGCGCUGUUGGGAUACUACCCUUGCUUGACGGAUGCUCUAACCUCGGCCUGUGAUCCAGGCCGAGGACAGUGUUUGACGGGCAGUUUGACUGGGGCGGUCGCCUCCUAAAGUGUAACGG
rnacentral:rRNA from 1 species